AGGGAUGAGUGAGGAAGGUGCCUCCACAUUUCAGUAGAUCAAACGCUGCGCCCGCAGUUGGUUUGAUUUUGUUCCUCUUGAUAGGGUUUGUGAUACUGAAAUCUGUUUAUGUUGGAUACAUUUUGUGGAUUUCAACAGCUACUUGUCUGAUUAAAUGUAUUCAAGUGUGAAUAUCCAAAUAGGUACCCAGAACGAAGAAGUCUGAAUCCCAUCAGUUGAAGAAUGGACAGGAUUCAACAUCUGUUAUUAUGGGAGCCUGAUGUGAUCAAAAGCCUCAACGUCACCAAGGUCUCAGAAACAAACAUCGCCCUGUCCUGGUCCGCUCCUGAGGGCAACCGUGACUUCUACUACAUUCAGGUGAGGGGUCAACCUUAUCUGAAAAUGACCACACACACAGAGAGCGCCGUGGUCAAAGGCCUGAUACCGGGGGGGUACUACACAUUUGAGGUCAACGCCAAAGUGGAGGACGAGUCCAUCGAGGGAGACCCACUGAACAUCUCCUCCUACACCAAGCCAGGAAAGGUGUCACACUUAAAGGCGUCUGCUCCUACUACUGACUCUGUCUACCUCCAAUGGGAGCAGCCUGCAGGGAAUAUCUCUGGGUUUAGAGUGGACGUCUUGCAUGAAGAAAACGUCAUUAACAAGACGCUGAUCAACAUAAACCUGAAAGAUACAAGUCUUAGGGUGAUGAACCUGUCGGCAGGCGCCAAGCUCUGGCUGAGCGUGGUAGCACUGGUGCCCGACGCAUUUGUGAAAGGAGAGCCCAGCACCGUGAUGGCCUUCACCAGUCCAGGUGACGUUACUGACUUAGAGUUGGUCCCUGCUGCGCACACCAUCAGUGUGACCUGGACAGCUCCUGGGGGCAACUACGAGACUUUCAGCGUUCAGCUCAAUCUAACCGCCUUGGAACAGGAAGUCGGGAAAAAAGGAGCAAAACGCCAGUCCUCUCUCCUUCACGGGACUGAAGGCAGGAGCCGAAUAUACAGUGACAGUCACCACUCUGAAUGGGUAUCUCAAGAGCCAACCAAGGAACAAAACAGUUUUCACUCUUCCUGUCCCACCGGAACCAGCCAAAAUCGACUCCUUCAGUGAGAGUCAUGUCACCCUGUCAUGGGGAGCCCCCAAGGCAUCCCAAGGCGUAGAACUGACAUACCUGGUCAAAUACACCACUGAAUUCUGGAAUUUGACAAAGAAUGAGACUGUGAAGAAUGCCACCACCUAUAUAUUUAAUGGGUUGUAUGCUGGGACCAACUACGACUUCGAAGUACGAGUGAAGGCGGGAACCCAGGAAAGCAGUCCGGUCAUAGUAUCACAGAUGACAAGUAAAUUAUUUACCAUGUCAGACAUAUUUACAUUUUUCUGAAACAAUAUCUUGUUUACAAAUGUAAUAAUAAUAGUGACUAUGUUUGUCUUUGUUUUUUGCUAAUAAUCACUCCCUUACAUCUCUAUAUUGCCCUUUCUCUCCUCUCUCUGUCUCUCUUCCUGCCUGCCUGUCUGUCUCUGCCAGUUGCUAAGGAGAGGGUUCUGACUAUUACCAUGAAGUGUUCCUCCAGCGAACCCCUCUACUGUAAGGACAUCCGCACACGGACAGAGGUCAUGUCAAAGGUGAGGUCAUCAUCAUCAAAUCCUCCAAUCACAUGGCAUUCAUCACCACACCUUUUAAUCGCAUUACGUAUGUACAUUGUAGUCAUUUUUUAGCAGACUCUCCUAUCCAGAGCCACUUACAAUGAAUUGGUGGGACAACCACAUACUGUAUCAGGAUCAUUGCAAGAACAAUCUUUGAUUUAAAAAAAAUAAUAAUCAGCAACAGGGAUGCUAGUUAGAGUAAAUAGAAAAAAAGUUACCGAAGUUCAGUGUCAUAUGUUUUCCCCAUCACAUACACAAUACAAAGACUAUACAGAGUAAAUCAAAUGGAAUGUUUUCCUAUAACACACUGAAUACAAAACUGAGUCUGUCCAUAUUUCUAUUACAGUUGCAUGAGCAUUUCCGCAAGGAGUUCUACAAGAAGAGAGAUAUUGUGUUCUGGGAACUGGACUGGACAGAGGCAUAAUAUCUCACACAAGCUUGACCAAAUACUACUACUUUCACUGUAUCAUUUCAAAUCCUAAGUGCUGGAUUACAGACCCAAAACAAAAAAACUACUGUCCCAAUACUUUGGGACCUCACUGUAUGUGUGUUGAAUUCCUUGUCUUAGCCAUCCUUGUCUUGCUUGUUUUCAAGAUGUCAUGUUUUUCUUUUGGAAAUACAUUUUAGUAACAUAUUGUCUCUUACCAAUUGUCAAAUGAAUCAAUGAAAAUGUACUUCAUCUGACUGUGGUGUGAAUAAAACUACAUUAUGUAAUCAAGUAUUUUCUAGUAAGUCUCUGUGCAUCUCAAUCAAGAAGGCACC
rnacentral:lncRNA from 8 species